CCUACGGGUGGCAGCAGUCGAGAAUCAUGCACAAUGGGGGAAACCCUGAUGGUGCGACGCCGCGUGGGGGAAUGAAGGUCUUCGGAUUGUAAACCCCUGUCAUGUGGGAGCAAAUUAAAAAGAUAGUACCACAAGAGGAAGAGACGGCUAACUCUGUGCCAGCAGCCGCGGUAAUACAGAGGUUUCAAGCGUUGUGCGGAAGCACUGGGCGUAAAGGCUGCGUAGGCUGUUUCGUAAGUCGUGUGUGAAUGGCCCGGGCUCAACCCGCGGACGGCACAUGAUACUGCGAGACUAGAGUAAGGGAGGGGGAAGCGGAAUUCUCGGUGUAGCAGUGAAAUGCGUAGAUAUCGGGAGGAACACUCGUGGCGAAGGCGGGUUCCUGGACAUUAACUGACGCUGAGGCACGAAGGCCAGGGGAGCGAAAGGGAUUAGAUACCCUUGUAGUC
rnacentral:rRNA from 1 species